rnacentral:rRNA from 1 species
GAUGAACGCUGGCGGCGUGCCUAAUACAUGCAAGUCGAGCGAACGGACGAGAAGCUUGUUUCUCUGAGGUUAGCGGCGGACGGGUGAGUAACACGUGGAUAACCUACCUAUAAGACUGGGACAACUUCGGGAAACCGGAGCUAAUACCGGAUAAUAUUUUGAACCGCAUGGUUCAAGAGUGAAAGACGCUCUUGCUGUCACUUAUAGAUGGAUCCGCGUUGCAUUAGUUAGUUGGUAAGGUAACGGCUUACCAAGCCAACGAAGCGGAGCCGACCUGAGAGGGUGAUCAGCCACACUGGAACUGAGACCCGGUCCAGCCUCCUCCGGGAGGCAGCAGUAGGGAUUCUUCCGCAAUGGGCGAAAGCCUGCCGGAGCAACCCCGCGUGAGUAAUAAAGGUCUUCGGAUCGUAAAACUCUGUUAUUGGGAAAGAAAAUAUGUGUAAGAAACUGUGCACAACUUGACGGUACCUAAUCAGAAAGCCACGGCUAACUACGUG